AUUGAACGCUGGCGGCAGGCCUAACACAUGCAAGUCGAGCGGAUGACGGGAGCUUGCUCCUUUAUUCAGCGGCGGACGGGUGAGUAAUGCCUAGGAAUCUGCCUGGUAGUGGGGGGCAACGUUUCGAAAGGAACGCUAAUACCGCAUACGGUCUACGGGAGAAAGCAGGGGACCUUAGUGCUUCUCGCCAUCAGAUGAGCCUAGGUCGGAUUAGAUAGUUGGUGGUGUAAUGGCUCACCGAGGCGACGAUCCGUAACUGGUCUGAGAGGAUGAUCAGUCACACUGGAACUGAGACACGGUCCAGACUCCUACGGGAGGCAGCAGUGGGGAAUAUUGGACAAGGGGCGAAAGCCUGAUCCAGCCAUGCCGCGUGUGUGAAGAAGGUCUUCGGAUUGUAAAGCACUUUAAGUUGGGAGGAAGGGCAGUAAGUUAAUACCUUGCUGUUUUGACGUUACCGACAAAAUAAGCACCGGCUAACUCUGUGCCAGCAGCCGCAGUAAUAC
rnacentral:rRNA from 1 species